rnacentral:rRNA from 1 species
AGAGUUUGAUCCUGGCUCAGGACGAACGCUGGCGGCGUGCUUAACACAUGCAAGUCGAACGGUGAACCUGCUUCGGUGGGGGAUCAGUGGCGAACGGGUGAGUAACACGUGGGCAACCUGCCCCUGGCUCUGGGAUAACUCCAAGAAAUUGGGGCUAAUACCGGAUAUGACCGCUGACCGCAUGGUCUGGUGGUGGAAAGAUUUAUCGGCUGGGGAUGGGCCCGCGGCCUAUCAGCUUGUUGGUGGGGUAGUGGCCUACCAAGGCGACGACGGGUAGCCGGCCUGAGAGGGUGACCGGCCACACUGGGACUGAGACACGGCCCAGACUCCUACGGGAGGCAGCAGUGGGGAAUAUUGCGCAAUGGGCGAAAGCCUGACGCAGCGACGCCGCGUGGGGGAUGACGGCCUUCGGGUUGUAAACCUCUUUCAGCAGGGACGAAGCGGAAGUGACGGUACCUGCAGAAGAAGCACCGGCCAACUACGUGCCAGCAGCCGCGGUAAUACGUAGGGUGCAAGCGUUGUCCGGAAUUAUUGGGCGUAAAGAGCUCGUAGGCGGUUCGUCGCGUCGGCUGUGAAAUCCCGAGGCUCAACCUCGGGUCUGCAGUCGAUACGGGCGGACUUGAGUUCGGCAGGGGAGACUGGAAUUCCUGGUGUAGCGGUGAAAUGCGCAGAUAUCAGGAGGAACACCGGUGGCGAAGGCGGGUCUCUGGGCCGAUACUGACGCUGAGGCGCGAAAGCGUGGGGAGCAAACAGGAUUAGAUACCCUAGUAGUCC